rnacentral:lncRNA from 1 species
GAAUAUAGAUUCAUAUUAUAAUUACAAACAAGUAAUUGAAAAGUAUCAAAAUUUUAUAAAAGAUAAAAAAAAACAACCCAAACUUGAUAACACACACAUAUCUGAAAAAGAGAAGUCUUCAAUGGAAAGUAAUUUUAAUAAAAAUAGCAAGUAUAAUAUUAAAAAUAUAAAUAAGAGCCCGUUUUUAUUAAACAAGAAUCAGAAACAAGACCCUCAGGAUAAUACAAUUAACAAUAGUAUUACAAUUGACAAAACAAAUAAAAUCAAUCUAAAUAAAGAUGAAAAAUAUGUAAUACUAAGAAAACAAAUUACAAAAGAAUAUAUUCAUAAAGUGUUUUUACCUCAUGUGGAAUCUCAAAUUAUUUAUCAUUUGAAAACGUAUACACCUAACCAAAUAGUUACUAUAUUUAAUAUAUAUUCUUAUUUAUAUUAUUUUGAUAAAAAGAAAGAAAUGGUAGACCAACUAUUACAGUAUCUGGAAUAUAGGUUAGAUUGUUUUAGUGUAGAAAAUGUUUUACUCGUAUUAGAGCCAUUAUACAUUUUAAACAAAACUAAUAAUAUAUAUAUAUAUAGAUUAAUUAUAAAUCAUAUAAAUAAAAUAAAAGAAAAAUUAAAUAUAUAUAAUUAUAUCGGCAUUUCAAGAGUAUUUACUAAAAUACUAAUAGAUAUUUAUUUUGAAGAACGUAAUAAUAAAACUUUUUUUCUUACCGAUUUAAUACAAUUUAUAAAACAAAAAAAAUUUCGAAAAAAUAUUCCAUAUCAACAAAAAAAAAUAUCACAUAAAGAAUUUAUAAGUCAAUUUAUGAACGAUGUAAUUGAAAAAAUAGAAAAUGAAUUACAUUUAUUAACUGCUAUUGAGCUAACUGAUUUGUUAAGUGUUAUAUCAAAUUAUGCAUAUAAAAAUAAAUACUCAACAUAUUAUGUUCCAUCUGAAAUGGUUAAUGAAAAAAAAAAUGUCAUAAAUAAACAUGCCACUUGUAAUUAUGAUACAAAUACAACUAGCGAAUCUUGUACAAACAAAGAAUUAUCACAUAUCCAUAAUGAACUAAAUGUUCUGAAUCUGUCAGAAAAAAACGCUUACAUUUUUAAAGAAAAUAUUGUAUACUUUAUAAUAAUAAAAGAAAUGAUAAAAAAAUAUAAUGAAUUAAGUACUUUACAUAAAAUAACAAAUUUUUAUAACUUGUCUAAAUUAUGUAUAUAUGAUGAUGAGUUUAUUAUGUUAAUUGAAAAAGAUAUAAAUAACUAUCAUUAUAUAAAUAACAUACAUCAUAAAUAUUUAGCUUUAUUAAUAUGGUGUUUACAUAAAUAUAAACUAUUAUAUAAACACAUUGACAAAUUAAAACCAAUAAUAAAACAAAAUAUUUUUAAAUUCAAUUCAAAGGGAUUUUCUAGAUUAUGUCAUAGUAUACUACACGAAAAAGAAAUUUUACAUAAUAUAGCAAAUAACUUAUUGCAACAAAUUACAAAUAUGAAUGUUAAUGAAUUCUUGUGUUACUUUUACUCUGUUGUUUUAUUAGACUUGUUACCAACUCUAACUGUUUCGACGAAUAGUAAUAAUACAAAUUGUGAUAAUCAUCAUGCGGAUAAUAAUAUAGGAGACAACAAAAGCAACCACAACAGCGAACUCACAAACCAUAUUGUAGACAAACACACCGACUUAACACUUUUAAACAAAAAUAAAAUAUUAGAAACUUGUGUCAAUUUUAUUAAUCAAAAUAAAAAAGAAUUAGGGAAAGACGAUAUAACUAAAAUUGUUUUACUUUUAAAAAAAAAAAAAGAUCAAAAGUAUUUGUAUGUGUUAAAAAUGUUACCUGACGAAUGGCAAUCAUUUAUUCACUUUAUUAACUAAUUGUCAAUGAAUUCGAAAUAUGUGCGUACGUUAUAUGCGUGUAUG